rnacentral:tRNA from 1 species
GCCUGGGUGGCUCAGUCGGUUGAGCGACUGACUUCGGCUCAGGUCUUACUCUCACGGUUUGUGAGUUUGAGCCCCACGUCGGGCU